GGGGCACUCUCGGGCCUGCACCGCCCGCUCUGAGAACAGGGACGGGGCACAGGACAUGCAGGAGAUCGCGGGGCUCCGCAGGAAGUUUCCACAUGGUUCUCUCUCACGCUUGUUUUGGAACUUGUACCGCACCCCAGCCGCUGCCUCGCCGGGCCCUUUGCAGGAGAAAAAUAAACAGAAUGUGUGGAUAGGCCUAGGACAGCGGCUGUGUUCCCAAGAUUGGCAAGCAAUUCCCAGUUCAACUACUCGGAAAUUAACAGAAAGCACCAGGCCAGUAUGAAGACGUUCGAGAAGAAAAACACUGGAUGUUUUUGCAGUUGCACCCCUAACAAAUGUGCUCAUUCCUCCACAUUUUGGGGGACUGGGAUGGCCUGG
rnacentral:lncRNA from 1 species